CUUGAGUGAACAAUAAAUAGGAUUUUUGAAAAAGUUAGAAGUUUUGAAAGCUGAAUCUCAAUACGUCGAGCUAGCUUGAGCAUACGUUCGAGACAGCUCGACAAUCGAGUCAGCUCGGCUGCAAAGUCGAGCCAGCUCGAUCCACAAAUUCAAAAAAUUUGAAAACUUUUUAAAUUAAUUCAAUAAAAUUAUGAAAGAUAAAGAUCAAGUUAAGCAUUAUAAUAACAGCAAAC
rnacentral:lncRNA from 1 species